rnacentral:rRNA from 1 species
AUUGAACGCUGGCGGCAGGCCUAACACAUGCAAGUCGAGCGAGCGGCGGACGGGUGAGUAAUGUCUGGGAAACUGCCUGAUGGAGGGGGAUAACUACUGGAAACGGUAGCUAAUACCGCAUACCAUCAGAUGUGCCCAGAUGGGAUUAGCUAGUCGGUGGGGUAACGGCUAACCUAGGCGACGAUCCCUAGCUGGUCUGAGAGGAUGACCAGGCACACGGGAACUGAGCCACGGUCCAUACUCCGACGGGAGGCAGCAGGGGGGAAUAUUGCACAAUGUGCGCAAGCCUGAUGCAGCCAGGCCGCGUGGUUGAAGAAGGCCUUCGGGUUGUAAAGCACUUUCAGCGGUGAGGCGUUACCCGCAGAAGAAGCACCGGCUAACUCCGUGCCAGCAGCCGCGGUAAUAC